AAAGUAAACAGGACAAUCGCUGGUGGAGUACCGCAAGGUCCCACGGGAGGAAAGUCCGAGCUCCGCAGGGCAAGAUGCCAGUUAACGGCUGGUGGGGGCAACCCUAAGGCUAGUGCCACAGAAAUGUUAGACCGCCGAUGGAGGUAUAUCCUCACAGGCAAGGAUGCAACGGUGCGGUAAGAGCGCACCAGCAACAUGGAGACAUGUUGGCUAGGUAAACCCCAUCUGGAGCAAGACCUGAUAGGAGAUCAACACGCAAGUGUAGCUGUUGCCCGCAGUGAUUUCGGGUAGGUCGCUUGAGCCUACUAGCGAUGGUAGGCCUAGACAGAUGAUUGUCACUCCAACAGUGGGAGAUGUUACAAGCCAUCGAUUACCACUAGGAGAACAGAACUCGGCUUAUUGUUUGCUUUCCGU
rnacentral:RNase_P_RNA from 1 species